ACGCUAGCUACAGGCUUAACACAUGCAAGUCGAGGGGCAGCAUGGUCUUAGCUUGCUAAGGCCGAUGGCGACCGGCGCACGGGUGAGUAACACGUAUCCAACCUGCCGUCUACUCUUGGACAGCCUUCUGAAAGGAAGAUUAAUACAAGAUGGCAUCAUGAGUCCGCAUGUUCACAUGAUUAAAGGUAUUCCGGUAGACGAUGGGGAUGCGUUCCAUUAGAUAGUAGGCGGGGUAACGGCCCACCUAGUCUUCGAUGGAUAGGGGUUCUGAGAGGAAGGUCCCCCACAUUGGAACUGAGACACGGUCCAAACUCCUACGGGAGGCAGCAGUGAGGAAUAUUGGUCAAUGGGCGAGAGCCUGAACCAGCCAAGUAGCGUGAAGGAUGACUGCCCUAUGGGUUGUAAACUUCUUUUAUAAAGGAAUAAAGUCGGGUAUGGAUACCCGUUUGCAUGUACUUUAUGAAUAAGGAUCGGCUAACUCCGUGCCAGCAGCCGCGGUAAUACGGAGGAUCCGAGCGUUAUCCGGAUUUAUUGGGUUUAAAGGGAGCGUAGAUGGAUGUUUAAGUCAGUUGUGAAAGUUUGCGGCUCAACCGUAAAAUUGCAGUUGAUACUGGAUAUCUUGAGUACAGUUGAGGCAGGCGGAAUUCGUGGUGUAGCGGUGAAAUGCUUAGAUAUCACGAAGAACUCCGAUUGCGAAGGCAGCCUGCUAAGCUGCAACUGACAUUGAGGCUCGAAAGUGUGGGUAUCAAACCGGAUUAGAAACCCCUGGUAGUUCCACACGGUAACGGAUGAAUACUCGCUGUUUGGGAUAUAUUGCAAGCGGCCAAGCGAAAGCGUUAAGUAUUCCCCCCUGGGGAGUACCCCGGCAACGGGUGAAACUCCAAGGAAUUGACGGGGGCCCGCACAAGCGGAGGAACAUGUGGUUUAAUUCGAUGAUACGCGAGGAACCUUACCCGGGCUUAAAUUGCAGAUGAAUUACGGUGAAAGCCGUAAGCCGCAAGGCAUCUGUGAAGGUGCUGCAUGGUUGUCGUCAGCUCGUGCCGUGAGGUGUCGGCUUAAGUGCCAUAACGAGCGCAACCCUUGUUGUCAGUUACUAACAGGUUCCGCUGAGGACUCUGACAAGACUGCCAUCGUAAGAUGUGAGGAAGGUGGGGAUGACGUCAAAUCAGCACGGCCCUUACGUCCGGGGCUACACACGUGUUACAAUGGGGGGUACAGAGGGCCGCUACCACGCGAGUGGAUGCCAAUCCCCAAAACCUCUCUCAGUUCGGACUGGAGUCUGCAACCCGACUCCACGAAGCUGGAUUCGCUAGUAAUCGCGCAUCAGCCACGGCGCGGUGAAUACGUUCCCGGGCCUUGUACACACCGCCCGUCAAGCCAUGGGAGCCGGGGGUACCUGAAGUGCGUAACCGCGAGGAGCGCCCUAGGGUAAAACUGGUGACUGGGG
rnacentral:rRNA from 1 species